AAAGGAGAAGUAAAAUUAGAUUUUUCAAACCCUAGGUGCGCUGCACCUAGGGCAUUCGGCCAACUGUCCUGUCCCAUCGCCCAUACCGCCUGUAGCACCGCCCCCGUCACAUCCACCACCCUCCACUUACACCUGCAAAAUAAAUGAAGAAGGGACACUAAAUAAUAAUAAAAAGGGGCAUGUAAAUGGCUAUAAAAAGUCAAACCUAAAUCCAUUGUAGGAUUCGGCAUUU
rnacentral:lncRNA from 1 species